GUGGCGAACGGGUGAGUAACGCGUAAGAACAGCCCUUGGGAGGGGAACAACAACUGGAAACGGUUGCUAAUACCCCGUAGGCUGAGGAGCAAAAGGAGAAAUCCGCCCAAGGAGGGGCUCGCGUCUGAUUAGCUAGUUGGUGAGGCAAUAGCUUACCAAGGCGAUGAUCAGUAGCUGGUCCGAGAGGAUGAUCAGCCACACUGGGACUGAGACACGGCCCAGACUCCUACGGGAGGCAGCAGUGGGGAAUUUUCCGCAAUGGGCGAAAGCCUGACGGAGCAAUGCCGCGUGGAGGUGGAAGGCCUACGGGUCGUCAACUUCUUUUCUCGGAGAAGAAACAAUGACGGUAUCUGAGGAAUAAGCAUCGGCUAACUCUGUGCCAGCAGCCGCGGUAAU
rnacentral:rRNA from 1 species